rnacentral:rRNA from 1 species
GACAGAGGAUGCAAGCGUUAUCCGGAAUGAUUGGGCGUAAAGCGUCUGUAGGUGGCUUUUCAAGUCCGCCGUCAAAUCCCAGGGCUCAACCCGUGGACAGGCGGUGGAAACUACCAAGCUGGAGUACGGUAGGGGCAGAGGGAAUUUCCGGUGGAGCGGUGAAAUGCAUUGAGAUCGGAAAGAACACCAACGGACGAAAGCACUCUGGCUGGGCCGACACUGACACUGAGAGACGAAAGCUAGGGGAGCAAAUGGG